UUCAGGUUAUUUUAGUCAGGGAGCUUGAGGACAGUCAUGCCAGAUAACAUGAAAAAAAUGUAUUUUUUGCAGGAGGAUGAACAGUGUCCAUCUGACAUAAAUCUACUGAGACACAAAUCUUCGUGUCAGAAAAACAAAGGAGCAUCACUGCUGUCAUCUUUCUUCCUACCUAAGCACAUGCAAUGGGGUUUUUGCUUAAAAAAAUAAAAAUAAAAAAAGGCUGUUAGUGAGCCUUGUAUUAACACAUUUCAGAUGAAUAUAUAUAUUUAUUUAUACAUAUAUAUAUGUACGUGCAAUACAGGAGCACAGAUCAAUACAUCAACAGAUGACCACAAAAAUGAAGUGGCAACUGCUUGGAAGGCUAUCCUGUUUGCAAGUUUGCUUUUAUUGAUUUGAAGCAUCUUCUUCCUCUGAUCUUCUGCAUCUGGAGAGCUUGAGUACUAAAGGAACUACUAGGGAGCACAGAUUUCACAGAGAAAAUAGGAAAAGGUCAGGAAAGCUGUUGCCAUUCUGUAUGUUAGUUUCUCAUAUCUGCUGUUUUCUGAACUCAUUGGAGAAAACAGGAGUGAAUUCUGAAUAAUCUCUAACAGGUCAUCAGUUCUCUGCAGAGUGUAACCCAGAAAAACUUCCGGAAACCCAACCUCUUUUCUCUAACUUUUUUCUAAGCAUAUUUGGGCUGCUCUCUGGUGGAUGGUGGUGACUGACUAAGGGAUUACAAAUCUUUUCAGAAAAACUCUCUUCCUUGGGAAGCUAGCAGAUUGUCAGGAACUUGUUUUAGACUCCAUUCUGGGCUCUUUUGAAAAUCUGCCUGGUUUCUCAGCAAGAGCCACAUGUUGCCAAGAACACUUGAAAACACAGCCUCAGCUAUAGGUUGCUGGUCUCCUCAAAUGCCUGGCUCUGCUGAAACCUGAUUCACUACAACCAGCAGCCAAAGAUAGGCCUAGAGAUGCCCUGUGAACUUCUCAGGCAGCUCUGAGGCUGACCUAUGACAUCUGGAGCUCAUCCCCAGCACAGACUUCCAUCCGUGCCAAAUGAUGCUGCCAUCUGGUGACCCAGUUCCCUAGUGGCAUGGACACUGCUGGUGUUAGUGGACUCAAUAGCAGUCCUUCCAGGAACAGCUCACACCUGGAAUACAGCUUAGAGCCGUUAUGCUGUAAGGCUCCCCUCAAGCUCCCCUUGGAGCUCUGGCAUCUCUCUUGCAACACUUAACCAAAGCUCUCUGCCAAAGGUGGAUGCUGUUGGUGUGACUGGAACUCCUCUAAUCUUCUCUCAUCAGGCCUGGACUCACCAGUCGUCAUUACAGGACCACAGAAAUGAGGCACAACAGAAGAAGGUUCAGCCUCAAAAUGUAGUCUUGACUUUUCUGACUGAUUUUUUUCCAGUUUUGUCAGACCUGCACUCUACUUCAAUCUGAUUCUGAUCGUAUCAUGAUCUGAGUGUAUAGUUUGAGAUCUGUUGUAUCCAUUACCUGAGCUUUCAAUUAAACUCAGAGUUAAAAAUUUAGCAGACUCCUGCAAAAAGCAGAAUCUUUUUAGUUAAUCAAAAUGAAAAUGUUGUCAAAUGAGUUGCACUAAAGACAUUUCUGCAGCUAAUUUCUGAAUGAAAAGAAAUAUACUUUCCUGGAUGUUAAUUUUUUACUGCGUAAAUCCUCAAAUCCAACUAAACUGUGCUGAAUCAUUCUGCUAUAGCUUAACUACUUUGCGUUGGAAAUAACCUAGGUGUUCCAUUUCUGAUGUGGUAGCUAAUUAAAGACGUUCUGUCAAGGUUGACAGGUCUAAAAUGUGUGUUGCACUGAUAAUUAAAAAGAAGAGCACCCUACCCAUAAUAAACUGGAGUCAUGUUGCAAUCU